rnacentral:rRNA from 1 species
GGUUCCUUAGAUCGUACAUACUACAUGGAUAACUGUAGUAAUUCUAGAGCUAAUACAUGCCACUAUGCCCUGACCCGCAAGGGAAUGGGUGGAUUUAUUAGAACAGAACCAACCGGUUGUGGUUUCGGCCGCUUCCGUUCCAUUCUGUGAUGACUCUGGAUAACUUCACUGAUCGCAGUCGGCCUUGUGUCGGCGACGGAUCUUUCAAAUGUCUGCCCUAUCAAUUUACGAUGGUAGGUGACCUGCCUACCAUGGUGAUAACGGGUAACGGGGAAUCAGGGUUCGAUUCCGGAGAGGGAGCCUGAGAAACGGCUACCACUUCCAAGGAAGGCAGCAGGCGCGCAAAUUACCCAAUCCCGGCACGGGGAGGUAGUGACGAAAAAUACGGAUACGGGACUCAACAGAGGCUCCGUAAUUCGAAUGAGUACAAUUUAAAUCCUUUAACGAGGAUCAACUGGAGGGCAAGUCUGGUGCCAGCAGCCGCGGUAACUCCAGCUCCAGAAGCGUAUAUUAAAGUUGUUGCAGUUAAAAAGCUCGUAGUUGGAUCUGGGUCGCAUGGCUACGUGCCGUCACUUGUAUUCCUKGUCUGGCUACGGUUGGGCURGGUUUGUGAGUCGGUUUCGUGGCUGUGUAGCCUUUCUGCCGUGUCUGUUUCGACAGGUGCUGACGGUUCAUCCGUUGGCAUGCUUCCAGAUGCCUUUAACCGGGUGUCGGGGGCGGGCGGCACGUUUACUUUGAA